UACAGAGGUCUCAAGCGUUGUUCGGAUUCAUUGGGCGUAAAGGGUGCGUAGGUGGCGUCGUAAGUCGGGUGUGAAAUUUCGGAGCUUAACUCCGAAACUGCAUUCGAUACUGCGGUGCUUGAGGACUGGAGUGGAGACUGGAAUUUACGGUGUAGCAGUGAAAUGCGUAGAGAUCGUAAGGAAGACCAGUGGCGAAGGCGGGUCUCUGGACAGUUCCUGACACUGAGGCACGAAGGCCAGGGGAGCAAACGGG
rnacentral:rRNA from 1 species